rnacentral:rRNA from 1 species
GGUCGGAGGAAGGAGGGAGCC